UGGAUCAAGACUAGGAUCCAAGCGUUCAGUGACUUCCUGGAUUCGGCCAUCAGAAGUGUAUCUGUUUGUGUGUGUGGGUGUGUGUGAGU